CAACUAUCCACAAAAGACAAAAAUGACACAGACAUUAACAACUAUAGGUCACCGUACGGCCUUCAACAAUGAGCAAAGCCCAAACCGCAUAGUCAGCUAUAAAAGACCCCAAUAAGACAAUGUAAAACAAUUCAAACGAGAAAACUAACGGCCUUAUUUAUGUAAAAAAAUGAACGAAAAACAAAUAUGUAACACAUAAACAAACGACAACCACUGAAUUAUAGUCUCCUGACUUGAGACAGGCACAUACAUAAAUAAUGUGGCGGGGUUAAACAUGUUAGCGGGAUCCCAACCCUCCCCCUAACCUGGGACAGUGAUAUAACAGUACAACAUAAGAACG
rnacentral:lncRNA from 1 species